UACAGAGGUCUCAAGCGUUGUUCGGAUUCAUUGGGCGUAAAGGGCGCGUAGGCGGCGCGGUAAGUCGGGUGUGAAAUCUUGGAGCUUAACUCCGAAACUGCAUUCGAUACUGCCGUGCUUGAGGACUGGAGAGGAGACUGGAAUUUACGGUGUAGCGGUGAAAUGCGUAGAUAUCGUAAGGAAGACCAGUGGCGAAGGCGGGUCUCUGGACAGUUCCUGACGCUGAGGCACGAAGGUCAGGGGAGCAAACGGG
rnacentral:rRNA from 1 species